GCCCGCGAUGCGGUCACAGGGCCCGCCGCCCUGUCAGACUUACAGCGGCGGAACAGCACUCGGUUGAGUUCAUAAUGGAGUUAGAUGUACACGGCAGCCCGGAGCCCCCGGAACGUCGAUCAACCCGACCGCUGUCCUGUUUGGCUUGAACUUCACCUUCCCUCUAAUCCGCGAUUUCCUCCGUGCGUGCCUUGGAAGUCCUCAAGAUCUCGCGAGAACUCUGCCCUCUAGCAGUGAGGCCUUGAAAGUUCCUGCAGGCCUCUUGGCUCUCCGCUGCUCACUAUGGCGUUUGUUUUUUGUUGUGUUUUGGGGUUUGUCCUUCUGUCCUCUCCCGCGCUCCACCUUUUCCUGUCGUUUCCAAGCUGUGGGGGUUCUCCGGUUUAAUUAGCUCUUGCUUUCUCCGAGGGCAGCCUUUCUGGAACCGGAGUUAGGCGGAAAGAGGCCCAAAACCAAGAGGGCAGCGGGUCACGUGGCCACAGGUGUCCCGUGGAGUGGCCAUUUUGUGCAGUAGGAAACGGUUGCUUGAAUACAGUGUUCGGAAUGGGGGGCGGGGUAGGGGGAAGGGGCGGUUGGUGGCCAGGGUGGGGUCGGGGAGGUAAAGGGGAGUGGAGAAUGUGUUUCCCUUAAGACCAAGUAAGGACAGAAAGCUCGAACCUGUUGACCAGGUGGAGGGGGCCACCCCACAAUUGCCCAGACCCCGCUUGGAGGCCAUGGAAAGGGCACUGAUGACUGGUGGUAGCACUGGUUUCACAGAGUAAACGACACACGGAAACCAGCUGCCUUGCAUCUCCUAGUGCCGGGUAUUCAGAGCCCUUAACUCCACAGAUCAAACCUGAGUGGAAUUCACCCCAGAUCCGCGACUUGACAUGGACCCUGCUCCUGUAGCCAGCUCUUCUUCUCCCUGGUGUGCAGGUUGAGGGCUGCUGGAGGGGCUCCUGCUCUGCAUAAACACCUUGGCCAUCUUGCUUAGUAUGGGCAAGGAGAGAGGGCUUGGGUGAUUUGGGCCAAAUAGUGUUUAAAGAUGUGGCUUUGACCGUGGGUUCCCUUGGAAGUCUAAGGGAUGGUGCGAAAUGUGUGCUACUCGUUUUUGUGCAAGAUAUUUGUAAUCUGGAAAGAUGACUCGGCACUUAAGAGCACUGGCUGCUCUUGCAGAGGAGGGGACUUGGUUUCCCAGCACCCAUAUCUGGUGGCUCACAACUGCUGUUAACGUUAGUUCCAGGGGAAUUUGAUGCCCCCUUCUGGCACCCCAGCAGUCACAUAUAAAACCGCAAGCACAUACAUAGACACAUAAAAUUUUAAAGGGGUUUAAUAACUGCAACAGAAAAGAUCUUUACUGGUUUAUUUCAUAAUAGAUGUUGUACAUCCUGCUUCUGCCAUAUAUAAAUGUUAAUUGAAAAUAGGGCUUGUCUCUCUCUCUCUCUCAGAAGCUUUAGAAUCUAGGCAAAAAUGACUGACCAAUAUGACACUAUAUAUUGAAUAUGAUGUAUGGAGUACAGAAGAGAGUGGAUGAAGGAUGUUUGUUUUCAUGGGUUCUUUUAGGAUCUUUAACCCCACAAUGGACAGCUGAAAAACGAAGUCAGUAUACCCAGGAGAGCAGAGAUCAGAAACUUAGACAAAAAGGUGAUUCCUUGAUCCCAUUAAGUCUGAGGUCUGUCUAACCUUUGAAACUCUGAAUUAUAUGAACUGUUAGGUCCUUUGUAUCUUUAUGCCAUUUUAAAAUGGAUUUUUUUUUUUCAAGACAGGGUUUCUCUGUGUCCUAGAACUCAUUUUGUAGACCAGGCUGGCCUCUAACUCAGAAAUCCAACUGCCUCUGCCUCCCGAGUGCUGGGAUUAAAGGCGUGCACCACCACGCCCGGCUUUAAAAUGCAUUUUUAAAGUUACUGAGAACAUAGAGUCCCCAACUGACACCAGUAUAGGCUACUAAACCAUAAUUAGUCAAAUUUUUUCACCAUAAGAAGUAUAGAAUAAAGGACCAAAGGGAAAAACACCCUGACCCUGACUUAACCUCAAGCUGGAGACCAGGGCCAAGAAACAGAAUCCCACCAAUCCUUGAGCGCACGCACUCACAGUACACAUACACACACACACACACACACACACACACACACACACACACACACACACACACACAUCCCUGAAUGGGAAAACCCACCAAUCCCUGAGCUCUCUUAAAGUAAAGAAUUGAAAUCCUACCAAUCCUCACCUUGGAACCAUCCUUCUUGAAAGCUCCCCGCUUCCCCCAAGAGACGCCACUGCCCUGCUCAGGUCCCUGGUGCUGCUCUACCAAGCAGAGCUAUCCACCCUCCUGAGAUCUAGUUUUACUUCCAAUAGAUCUCUGAGGUUUGUUCUGUGGUGUGACUGUGGUCUUCCUUCCUUGAUUUCUGAUCGCCAGGAUAUCUCUGGCAGCAGAGAUGUAACACUUCUGCCCCAGCCUAGUUUUGGUUGGGAAACCUGCUCCUGCCAGAGCAAAAAUGUUACACUUGCAUUGGGGAAACCUUUCUGGGCAGCUGGAGCAGAGCUGUUACAAGAAAGAAAUAGUAUCAACUAGAACUCGGGAAUGCUGCUUAAAAGAACUUUGAAAAUUAGGGAAAGGCGGGAGAGGGUCUUUGAGGUAACUAGGUGAGAUGAGUAACUUUAUUCUGAAUGUCGAGUCUUUACCAAGUUUAGUGCUAUGAACCUUCAAUACUUCAAGAGCUUCCUUGAUAGCUUUUCUGAUAUUCCUAGGCUUAUGAUUAUGUCGUGGUCAGGGGGUUGGUUAAAUGUUUAGCUUUAUAUUGCUCCAACUCUUAAGUUUUAAAAAUUCUUCCUCCAAAUAAAUUAUUGGUGUUGAAUUUCAGGUCGGUAGCUUUCCAGAAUAGCUCUCUUUCUCAGCAGUUCCAUGUUUUACUAUUCCCCUCCCUUUGACUAUAGAAGUGAUAGGGUGGAAUUUCUGUCAUUAGGUUGUAAAACAUCCGAGUUCAUCUUGUUGGACUCUUGCACUAUAAAUAAGAAAAACUCAAGCUGUAAAAUAUAAUCUGAAAGGAAUCAUAAAAACAUGUCAUGUUCUGGAUUCUAAACCAUAAUAAAAUGUGAAUGAUAAGACU
ensembl:antisense Gm37912 predicted gene, 37912